UACGUAGGGUGCAAGCGUUGUCCGGAAUUAUUGGGCGUAAAGAGCUUGUAGGCGGUUUGUCGCGUCUGCUGUGAAAUUUCGGGGCUCAACCCCGAACUUGCAGUGGGUACGGGCAGACUAGAGUGUGGUAGGGGAGACUGGAAUUCCUGGUGUAGCGGUGGAAUGCGCAGAUAUCAGGAGGAACACCGGUGGCGAAGGCGGGGUCCUGGGCCAGUACUGACGCUGAGGAGCGAAAGCGUGGGGAGCAAACAGG
rnacentral:rRNA from 1 species